UACAGAGGGUGCGAGCGUUAAUCGGAAUUACUGGGCGUAAAGCGCGCGUAGGCGGCUUUGCAAGUCGGGUGUGAAAGCCCUCAGCUCAACUGAGGAAGUGCGCCCGAAACUGCUUUGCUUGAGUGCCGGAGAGGGUGGCGGAAUACCCCAAGUAGAGGUGAAAUUCGUAGAUAUGGGGUGGAACACCGGUGGCGAAGGCGGCCACCUGGACGGUAACUGACGCUGAGGCGCGAAAGCGUGGGGAGCAAACAGG
rnacentral:rRNA from 1 species